rnacentral:rRNA from 1 species
UACGUAGGGGCUAGCGUUAUCCGGAAUUACUGGGCGUAAAGGGUGCGUAGGUGGUUUCUUAAGUCAGAGGUGAAAGGCUACGGCUCAACCGUAGUAAGCCUUUGAAGCUGAGAAACUUGAGUGCAGGAGAGGAGAGUAGAAUUCCUAGUGUAGCGGUGAAAUGCGUAGAUAUUAGGAGGAAUACCAGUUGCGAAGGCGGCUCUCUGGACUGUAACUGACACUGAGGCACGAAAGCGUGGGGAGCAAACAGGAUUAGAUACCCCGUAGUCCCUGAG